GAUCUUCGUCCUCCAAGGAAUCAGUGGAAUUUGUUGAUCGGCUCUCACAAUCAGAAUCGUUUGAGCAAUCAGCAACUGUAGAUCCACAUGUUUCAUCCUCAGGACAUGUCACUGGUACAGUCAUAAUUUUGGCGCUCCAGAAUGCAGCAAACCUCGGCGACCAUGCUGACGUUGAACAAAGAGGAUCCACGAUGACUUGCAUCAAGGAAAAGUCACGGCACCAUUGUGACCAGCCUGUAUCUUCUCUCUGCGUUGUGUUGAUAUUUUAACCAGACCGGACAACAAGAGAUUCUUUGGACCACUUUUUAAUUCUGAAUGAAUAAAAAGGAAAAUGUAUGAAAACAAAAGUCAAUCCGUGGCCUUUCUCCACAAUUUCUACAUUGACCUGCCAGUCAAAACAGAUGAUUUUAGCCACGGAACUUACACGGUUAAUAAACACCAAAAGAAAAUACAUACUUCAUGUUACCCAACCUCUAUUAGUGUUACAAUAAGAUUAAACUGUAUUUUUUUAACAAAAAAAAA